UAUAAGCAAUUAUACAGCGAAACUGCGAAUGGCUCAUUAUAUAAGUUAUCGUUUAUUUGAUAGUACCUUACUACUUGGAUAACCGUGGUAAUUCUAGAGCUAAUACAUGCUAAAAAUCCCGACUUCGGAAGGGAUGUAUUUAUUAGAUUAAAAACCAAUGCCCUCCGGGGCUCACUGGUGAUUCAUGAUAACUCCUCGAAUCGCAUGGCCUUGUGCCGGCGAUGGUUCAUUCAAAUUUCUUCCCUAUCAACUUUCGAUGUUUGGGUAUUGGCCAAACAUGGUUGCAACGGGUAACGGAGGGUUAGGGCUCGACCCCGGAGAAGGAGCCUGAGAAACGGCUACUACAUCCAAGGAAGGCAGCAGGCGCGCAAAUUACCCAAUCCCGACACGGGGAGGUAGUGACAAUAAAUACUGAUACAGGGCUCUUUUGGGUCUUGUAAUUGGAAUGAGUACAAUUUAAAUCCCUUAACGAGGAACAAUUGGAGGGCAAGUCUGGUGCCAGCAGCCGCGGUAAUUCCAGCUCCNAUAGCGUAUAUUAAAGUUGUUGUGGUUAAAAAGCUCGUAGUUGAACCUUGGGCCUGGCUGGCCGGUCCGCCUCACCGCGUGUACUGGUCCGGCCGGGCCUUUCCCUCUGUGGAACCCCAUGCCCUUCACUGGGCGUGGCGGGGAAACAGGACUUUUACUGUGAAAAAUUAGAGUGCUCCAGGCAGGCCUNUGCUCGAAUACAUUAGCAUGNAANAAUAGAAUAGGACGUGUGGUNNUAUUUUGUNGGUUNCUAGGNCCGNNGUAAUGAUUAAUNNGNNCAGUCGGGGCAUCAGUAUUCAAUUGUCAGAGGUGAAAUUCUUGGAUUUAUUGAAGAC
rnacentral:rRNA from 1 species